GGGCGAGAGACCGAUAGCAAACAAGUACCGCGAGGAAAGAUGAAAAGGNCUUUGAAAAGAGAGUCAAAAAGUGCUUGAAAUUGUCGGGAGGGAAGCGAAUGGGGGUCGGCGAUGUGCCUCGGUCGGAUGUGGAACGGUUAUAGCCGGUCUGCCAAUUGACUCGGGGUGUGGAUCGGUGCGGAUUGGGACGGAGGCCAAAGCCCAGGAAGUCGUUAAANCCUGUGGAGACGCCUUCGCCCCAAUUGUGGCUGGCAGCGUGCGUCUUUAUGGCGUGCUUCGGCAUCUGUGCGCUCCCGGCACCGAUCAGUGGGCUCUCCAUUCGGCCCGUCUUGAAACACGGACCAAGGAGUCUGACAUGUGUGCGAGUCAACGGGUGAGUAAACUCGUAAGGCGUAAGGAAGCUGAUUGGUGGGAUCCCCUAGUGGGUUGCACCACCGACCGACCGACCUUGAUCAUUUGAGAAGGGUUCGAGUGUGAGCAUGCCUGUCGGGACCCGAAAGAU
rnacentral:rRNA from 1 species